AAAAAAAAAAAAAAAAAAUGCCACAGAGCUAGGAUUCUUCAGCGAGGGCAGAGGGGUGUGGGCAACCGGGCAGCAAAUGCUGAGCCCAGACACGGAGAGCCCCCGCAGCUUCCAGUCGAUGCGCUGGAAAAGCAGUGUUUGCCUCGCUCAUUACAUGCCCUCUCCCUUUUAAUAAGUAUUUCCGAAGGCAGAACACAGCUGAUCAGAGCGGCAGAGUGGGGGUUCAGGGGAUGGGGAACCGGGGCUGGCGGCGGAAAAACCUAAACCCAGUUCCUGAAGUGAAGGUUACUUAUGACACCAAAUAAAAUCCAUUUCUAUCGGUGAAGACAUGCAAUUACUCAUGGGAUCAACUUUUUGGCGGCAUUUGUGAAGUGCCAAGGAGUGGGGAAGGGGACAGAGGACUAACGCUUUUCGGAGCUCAGAGCCCCGGAGCUGAGACCAGAAGGCAGCCCGCCCCAGGUAGCGGAAGGCAGACAAACCUGGUUUGAACCUUGUACUUUCCUGGGAGGCAAAUAGAAGAAGAGUAGAAAACAGAAGGGAGGAAGCAAAACAAAACGCCGCGAUCCUAUCUAAAUUCAUUCCUGGCCACGCCCCAUUCCUGGGCGGGGCGAGCUGGGCUCCGACCGUCCCCUCGGAGGCUGGAGGAAGAUGUGAAGAAACUUGGCGCCCCCACCUCACACCCAUCCCAGAAGGAGCGGGAGGGCUGCGAGAGGGAUGUGGGCACCGGCACGUUUGGAGAAAACAAAUCACCGGCAUCAUCAUGAGUGAUCCACUGUGGAGGACAGCUAAACACAUCAAUUUCCAAAAUAUUGAGAUUCAAGGCUUCUGCACACAAUGGAUCACCUCUACCUGAAGGGGCCAUGCACUCUCUUCCCAAGUUCAGUUACUGCAACUCCUUCAUUCCUUUUACCCUGCUUGCGUCUGCGCUGGUUGCUGGGUUCCUUCCCAACUCCCUCUUCAUGGACUUCGCGAUGCCAGUGUGAAAUUGGCCGUGGACAAGAGCACCCCAGAAAUAAUUGGUAGCUGGACUUUUUCCCCUUGAGAGUUGAUUCUUGGGCUGGGGAUAUGGCUCAAGCGGUAAUGCGCUCGCCUGGCAUUCGUGGGGCACUGGGUUUGAUCCUCAGCACCACAUAAAAAUAAAGAUGUUGUGUCCACCGAAAACUAAUAAAUAAAUAUUUUAAAAAAAGAGAGUUGAUUCUUAAACAGUUUUAGCAUAUUACCAUUUUAUCCAUCUCCCUCUUCUCUCUCUCUUUAUUUUUUCAGUGCUGAAGAUUGAACCCAGGCCCUCAUGCAUGCUAGGCAAGCAGUCGACCACUGAGCCACUCUCCUCCUCUUUUCUCUCUUUUUAAUCAACCUUUUCUCUUUAUAUGUACAGGAAGUAGGUGUGUACACUUACUUUUUUUUUUCUGAACUGAUUGAGAGUAGGUGACAUAUAUGUCUCUUUAUCCUUAAAUAUUUCUAUGUGCAUUUCUAAAAAAAAAAAACAAGGUCAUUCACUUACAUAACAACCACAGUAUGUUUAUCCAAAUCAGAAAAUUAGCAAGGCUACCGUUCUAUUGUUUGAUGUACAGACAUUUUUCAAAUGCCUCCAACUAUCCUACUAAAGUCCUUUAUAGUAAAAGAAGAAACUUUCUCUGGUCCAGUGCCCAGUGCAAGCCUACAUAUUGUAUUUAGUUGCCAUGUCUCUUCAAUAUCCUUUAGUCUAGUAUUAUUCAGUCUUUCCUUGUCGUUCAUGACCUUGAAAUUUCUUUAGGGGACAGACCACUGAUUUUGAGGAAUAUACUUCAGGUGGGUCUGUCUGGUGUUCCUGCUUGGUUAGAUUCAGGUCCUGUAGAUUUGGAGGUCAGGGAUAGCACACAGAUGCUGUCGUGGCCAUCUCAGGGCAUCCCAUGGAGGGACACAUUAUUGUCCCAUUACUGGUAUGAACUUGGAUCACUCCAUGUUUGCUACUUUUCUCAGAAUCCAGAUUUGAUUUUCCUCACUUUGUCAUCAGCAGAUUUCUUUGGGGAGAUAUUUCGAGAUAUGAAAAUGUCUUGUUUCCUAUCACCCAUUACAUGUUGAAUAUCCCUUAUCCAAAAUGCUUGGGACCAGAAGUGUUUUAAAUUUGGGAGUUUUAAGAAUUUUGGAAUAUUCAUAUUGACUUUACUGACUGAACAUCUCUAAUCUGAAAAUCCAAAAUCUGACAUGCUUCAAAAUUCAAAGUUUUUUGAACACUGACAUAACACUCAAAAAGUUCAGGUCUUGGGUAGAACAUUUCAGAUACUGGACUUUCAGAUUAGGAAUGCUCAACCUGUAGUUGCAGCCUCCAUUGAUGAAUUUUGCCUGAAAUGGUUAAUAUUAUGGUGAUAGUCAAGCAAUUAUUUUAUUUAUUUUUGGUACUGGGGAUUGAACCCAGGGACAGUUAACCUCUCAGUCACUUCCCCACCCCCUUUUUUAAUUUUUAUUUUUUUGUAGUGGUACAUGAACAGCAUGCCUUUAUUUUAUUUGUUUCAUUUUUAUGUGGUGCUAAGGAUCGAACCCAGUACCUCACACAUGCUAGGCAAGUGCUCUGCCUUUGAGCUACGGCCCCAGCACCCCCAGCCCUUUUUAUAUUUUAUUUUAUUUUAAUAUUUUUAGUUGUAGAUAGACACAAUACCUUUAUUUAUUUAUUUUUUAUGUGGUACUGAGGAUCGAACCCAGGGCCUCACACAUGCAAGGCAAGUGCUCUACCACUGAGCCACAACCCCAGCCUCUUAUAUUUUAUUUUGAGACAGGGUCUUAACUAAAUUGCUUAGGGCCUUGCUGAAUUGCUGAGGGUGGCUUUGAACUUGUGAUCCUCCUGCCUCAGCCUCCUGAACUGCUAGGAUUACAGGCGCGCACCACUGUGCCCAGCCUUAAAUGAUGAGUUGAAAUUUUUGGGUUUUUUAAUUAAAUUUAUUUAUUUAUUCUAAUUUGUUAUAUAUGACAGCAAAGUGUAAAAAUUCUGUUAUUAUUUCUGCAUUCUACAUUAAAG